rnacentral:rRNA from 1 species
CCAGCAGCUGCGGUAAUUCCAGCUCCAAUAGCGUAUACUUAAGUUGUUGCAGUUAAAAAGCUCGUAGUUGAAAUUCGAAUUAGCUGAUAGAGGGCUUAGGCUAUCUAGCAGUUGGUUCUCCGUCUACAAUCCCUCUUGGGCUUCAGGGUUGCAGAGGGCUGAGUAGACAAUUUACCUUGAAAAAAUUAGAGUGUUCCAGGCAGGUUUUCGCCGGAAUACAUUAGCAUGGAAUAAUGGAAUAGGACUUAGGUCUUUUGUUGGUUUUAGGACUUGAGUAAUGAUUAAUAGGGACAGAUGGGGGCAUUAGUAUUUAAUUGUCAGAGGUGAAAUUCUUGGAUUUAUUAAAGACUAACUUAUGCGAAAGCAUUUGCCAAGGAUGUUUUCAUUAAUCAAG